AAUCUUACUAGAGGUUUUGAUUUUGGAGGCAAUAGGCUACAAAUUUUGAUUCAACAAGAUUGAGAUGGAGCAAGUUUUCGGUUAAAUCUACUUUAAAGCUGAACUUCUCUCUAUGGAUGAAUGGCUACAGGUUUGAUGUUGUCAUGCUAUAUCUCCUUAAAAGUUUAAAGCUUCUCUAUGUUUUUCUUAUUUCCUCUUUUAUAUGGAAAUUAUGUAAUUAAGCUUUUGAACAUAUAUUUGCAUGUACUUGAAUAUGUCUAUGUGUGUAGGUGGGAUCGUUUCUCAUUUCUCAGCUUGGUAAAUCCAUGCCAUAGCUCAAGAAAAAGACAUAUACCAUAGAGGAUAUAUUAGUAAUAUGAAAGGAUUCAUGAAAGUACAAAUAUGUCAUGCAUGUUUCCAUCGGUGGAAAAGAGCUUCACAAGCACCUAGCUUGUGAAUUGUGUGAAGAUGUUAGAACUAAGCGGUUAGUGAAAUCUCACAGCUCUAACAUUCGUAAAUUCCUACUUUUCAAUUUCUUAUAUGUAUGCCCAUAUUUAUAAAUGUGAUUGUAGUAAGUGCAACUUUUUAAACAUUAUAACUGAGGUGGCCAAGUGGGUCUCUACCAUAAUCAUGGUUAUAAUUCUGUUAUUAUCUCUAAAAAACAAUACGAGUUAGUGUCUAAAGCAUAACUAUCUAAAUAUUAAUUAGUAAGUCUUAAAUAGUAUACUUAUAUCUUUGAAAUAUGCUUUGUUUUAAAAAGACAUAACAAUAAAUAUAUAUUUGUUAUAGUAAAUUAUACCAUCAAUAAAGAUAUCAUUUUCUAACAUUGAAUUUAGUGGAUAUUGUUUUCAUGGGACGGUAACCAUGCACUCAAAUAUGUACAUAAAUAUAGUAAUAAAAAAUGAGAAUAUUUUAUGGUAUGUUAUUUUAAUGUGUACAUGACAGGUAGCAGAGAUGUAAUAGAAGGAAAUGGAAGUAAGUUGUAAUUUCUUGCUAAUGAAUGAAAGUACGUUGUUAUUCAUCACAUUUAAUUUGACGUAAAUGCAAGAAAUAACAACGUACUUUCUAAGUACAUUGUCAUCAUGAGAAUAAAUUGAAAGUAAACUACCCUUUCUUGCUAAUAAAUGAAAGUAAGCUGCUAUUUGCAUUUAUUUUGGGUACAGUGCAAGAAAUAGCAAAUUACCUCAAAAUUAAAGUGCCCCAUAAUGAGAAUAAACUUGAAAUUAAAUUACUAUUUCUCGCUCAUUGGCUUAUUUGGCAUAUUUCUUUAAAAUAAAAUCAACGCUUUUGGGUAAAUUGCAGGAAAUGGCAAGAUACUUAAAACCACUAUUAUGAUUUGAAGUUGAUUACAUUUUCUUUUCAUGUUUGUGUUUGAAAAAGCACCACAAACCAAGCGUUAGGCAUGGAGUUGGAGUAUGUUCUUGGGAAAAUUAAUGUUAAAAAAUAUCGUAUUUGUGUGCCCUUUAAGACCAGAAGUAAAAUUCUAAACAGUUUCUCUGUGUGUUUCUAAAUGCUUUAUUAUGAUGAAUCAUCAUUUUCCUAUAUUUCUAAAGUACAUGCUCAGGUAAUUAAUAUUUUCGUGAGCAAGUGUUGUUUUAAUUGUAUGCUUUUAAAAUAAUUAAGCAGA